rnacentral:rRNA from 1 species
CCUACGGGGGGCAGCAGUAAGGGAUAUUGGUCAAUGGGGGAAACCCUGAACCAGCAACGCCGCGUGAGGGAAGACGGUUUUCGGAUUGUAAACCUCUGUCCUCGGGGAAGAGGAUGACGGUAGCAGAGGAGGAAGCUACGGCUAACUACGUGCCAGCAGCCGCGGGAAUACGUAGGGAGCGAGCGUUGUCCGGAUUUACUGGGUGUAAAGGGUGCGGAGGCGGCUUGGCAAGUCAGUAGUGAAAUCCAUGGGCUUAACCCAUGAACUGCUAUUGAAACUGUCGAGCUUUAGUGAAGUAGAGGUAGGCGGACUUCCCGGUGUAGCGGUGCAUCGCGU